rnacentral:rRNA from 1 species
ACCGAUAUCUGGUUGAUUCUGCCAGUAGUCAUAUGCUUGUUUCAAGGACUAAGCCAUGCAUGCCUCAGAAUCACUGCACUGCAGGAAUCUGCGCAUGGCUCAUUACAUCAGACGUAAUCUGCCGCAAAUAUUUUGCGGUUUCCGCAAGACUGGAUACCUUGGCGAAACGCCAAGCUAAUACAUGAAUCUGACGGGCGCCCUCCGUUCCAUGCAGUGGAGGGCUUGCCCGGAACCGCCAGCGAGGCGCCCUGCGAAUGAAUGAAAUUAAAACCAAUGCCGCGGACGCGGCAGCAACACCAAGAAGUGUUGACUCAAUUCAUUCCGUGCGAAAGCUGAAUUUUUCAGCGUCUUUUGACGAACAACUGCCCUAUCAGCCAGUGAUGGCCGUGUAGUGGACUGCCAUGGCGUUGACGGGAGCGGGGGAUUAGGGUUCGAUUCCGGAGAGGGAGCCUGAGAAACGGCUACCACUUCUACGGAGGGCAGCAGGCGCGCAAAUUGCCCAAUGCCAAAAAAUUUGGUGAGGCAGCGAAAAGAAAUAGGCCUCCUUAACACCCUGUGUUUGGGAUUUGCAAUGGGGGAUAUCUAAACCCAUCCAAAAUCGAGUAACAAUUGGAGGACAAGUCUGGUGCCAGCACCCGCGGUAAUUCCAGCUCCAAGAGCGUAUAUUAACGCUGUUGCUGUUAAAGGGUUCGUAGUUGAACUGUGGAUUGUGAAUCCCACAAGCAAGUCCCGCCCACUUCGGGUUGGUGACCCUUGACCUUGCGGUUCGUGAACAUUGAUACAAGAAGCACGGGAGUGGUUCCUUUCCGAUUCACGCAUGUCAUGCACGCAGGUGGGCGUCCGUGUUCAUUACUGUGACUAAAGAAGUGCGACCAAAGCAGUCUAUCGACAUGAAUGAGAAAGCAUGGGAUAACAAAGGAGCAACCUACGGUACUACCGGGUUUGGCUUUUGUUGGUUUUAAAAGUCUGUGGGAGAUUAUGGAUUCGCAUGACCGGCGGUCGGGGGUCGUCCCCGCGCUUUUUGCUUUGUGGGGUUCGCCUUGCAUUGUAGACUCGUUGACCCAGGAAUGAAGGAGGGUUGUUCGGGGGAGAACGUACUUGGGCGUGAGAGGUGAAAUACAUAGACCGCCCAAAGACGAACUACAGCGAAGGCAUUCUCCAAGGAUACCUUCCUCAAUCAAGAACCAAAGUGUGGAGAUCGAAGAUGAUUAGAGACCAUUGUAGUCCACACCACAAACGGUGACACCCAUGAAUUGG